CUCACCCACAUUACUGUUAUUGUUAUCUGAUUGGUGUAAAGCGUCUUGAGAAGGGCUAUAAAAAGUUGGGAUAUUUUGUGGGUUGAAUAAAAUACAACAAUGCCCCAGAGCAAUUUGAUUGGACGCUCAAAUGAGAGGAGCGUUUAAAGAGGAGGAUGCGUUUAAAGAGGAGGAUGCUAUUCAUGUGGCACAGCUUGAAGCUGGCAGGUGGAGAUGGGCCUGGCUGAAGUUGGAGUCGAAAACAAAAAAGCAACGAAAUGAGGCAAAUUAAAUUUGAAUCCUAAAUUUGUACAUCAUCAUGUACUUGAGUGGUGUCAAUAA